rnacentral:rRNA from 1 species
UACGAAGGGUGCAAGCGUUACUCGGAAUUACUGGGCGUAAAGCGUGCGUAGGUGGUUCGUUAAGUCUGUCGUGAAAGCCCCCGGCUCAACCGGGGAAGUGCCUCUGAUACUGGUCGCCUCGAGGGAGGUAGGGGCGUGCGGAACUUCCGGUGGAGCGGUGAAAUGCGUAGAUAUCGGAAGGAACACCGGUGGCGAAAGCGGCGCGCUGGACCUCUUCUGACGCUGAGGCGCGAAAGCCAGGGGAGCGAACGGG